rnacentral:rRNA from 1 species
UACGUAGGGUGCGAGCGUUGUCCGGAAUUAUUGGGCGUAAAGGGCGCGUAGGCGGUUCGCUAAGUUGGAUGUGAAAACUCUGGGCUCAACCCAGAGCCUGCAUCCAAAACUGGCGGGCUAGAGUUCUGGAGGGGGUAGCGGAAUUCCUGGUGUAGCGGUGAAAUGCGUAGAUAUCAGGAGGAACACCGGUGGCGAAGGCGGCUACCUGGACAGAAACUGACGCUGAGGCGCGAAAGCUAGGGGAGCAAACAGG